CUGGUAGUCCACGCCCUAAACGAUGUCAACUGGUUGUCGGAUCUAAUUAAGGAUUUGGUAACGUAGCUAACGCGUGAAGUUGACCGCCUGGGGAGUACGGUCGCAAGAUUAAAACUCAAAGGAAUUGACGGGGACCCGCACAAGCGGUGGAUUAUGUGGAUUAAUUCGAUGCAACGCGAAAAACCUUACCUACCCUUGACAUGCUUGGAAUCUAAUGGAGACAUAAGAGUGCCCGAAAGGGAGCCAAGACACAGGUGCUGCAUGGCUGUCGUCAGCUCGUGUCGUGAGAUGUUGGGUUAAGUCCCGCAACGAGCGCAACCCUUGUCACUAAUUGCUAUCAUUUUUAAUGAGCACUUUAGUGAGACUGCCGGUGACAAACCGGAGGAGGGUGGGGAUGACGUCAAGUCC
rnacentral:rRNA from 1 species